AGUGAACGCUGGCGGUAGGCCUAGCACAUGCAAGUCGAACGGCAGCACAGUAAGAGCUUGCUCUUACGGGUGGCGAGUGGCGGACGGUUGAGGAAUACAUCGGAAUCUACUUUUUCGUGGGGGAUAACGUAGGGAAACGUACGCUAAUACCGCAUACGACCUACGGGUGAAAGCAGGGGAUCUUCGGACCUUGCGCGAUUGAAUGAGCCGAUGUCGGAUUAGCUAGUUGGCGGGGUAAAGGCCCACCAAGGCGACGAUCCGUAGCUGGUCUGAGAGGAUGAUCAGCCACACUGGAACUGAGACACGGUCCAGACUCCUACGGGAGGCAGCAGUGGGGAAUAUUGGACAAUGGGCGCAAGCCUGAUCCAGCAAUACCGCGUGGGUGAAGAAGGCCUUCGGGUUGUAAAGCCCUUUUGUUGGGAAAGAAAAGCAGCAGGUUAAUCCCCCGCUGUUCUGACGGUACCCAAAGAAUAAGCACCGGCUAACUUCGUG
rnacentral:rRNA from 1 species